AUGUCCCCAAGUCUCAACGAUGAUGCAUACAUGUCCACUAUGGGUGUUGGGUCCAACAAUUCGCAUUGGUCUCAAACCAAUGACAUCCAUUUCGAAGACCAUGAGUUUGAGGUGGACGAGGAGGGUGAGGGAAUUGUCGAGGCGCCGAAAGGAAGAGCGGGCAAUUACUCAACCAACGAUGACAAGUUACUAUGCCAUACUUAUUUGCAAGUGUCGAGGGAUCCAUCCAUUGGAGGUGAUCAAAGUAGAGACGCGUAUUGGGGGCGAAUGAAAGAACACUUUGAUGCUCACAACUUGAGUGGAAUUGACCGCUCCGAGAGAUCACUUCGGUCCCGAUGGUCGACAAUCAACUCGGAUUGUCAAAAGUGGGCGGCCGUACAAAAGGCAGUUGACAAAAUUAACCCAAGUGGCACAAAUGAGGAUGAUCGAUACAACAUUGCACAAAACUUGUUCAAAGAAGAGACAAGGACAACCAAGAAGGGGAAGAUCGAGAAAGGCAAGGUCUUUACCUUGCCUCAUUGCUAUGAAGUGUUAAAGGAUGAUGAGAAAUGGAAGAAGCGUGAUGGUUUGGAGGAUUUGCAUUUGAGCAACAAGCGGAAGCGAGCAAUUGAGAUGAAUGAUGAUGAGGAGGAGGAUGAUGCAUCAAGUGAUGACGGCAAGAGAAGCCCCACACCCAACUCGGUUUCAUACUCGAAGCCAAAACGACCGGAUGGGUGCAAGAAAGACAAAACCGAAAAGAAGAAGAGGAAAGGAGAUGAUGAGCUCAAAAAUGCCAUGGAAGCUAUUGUGAAGGCAAGGGUCGAAGCCAAUGAGGUGAGGAAAAUGGCAAGGAACCAAGAUGCCGUGGCCGAGGAGAGGAGGUUGGCGGCCGAGGAGAGAAGGGUGGCGACCGAGGAGAGAAAGGUGGCUUUGGAGGAGAGGAAAGUGAGCAACGAGGAGCGAGCUAAGUUGUUGGAAUGGGAGAAGCACUUAUUCUUCUUGGACACAUCUAACCUCAAUGCGGCACAAAAAGAGUAUGUCAAUCUUGCCCAACAAGAAGUCUUGAUCCAAAAAAGAGCCUUGGUUCGUGCAAUGGGUGGCGGUGGCUUCGGCGCCAUGGGUGGCGGUGGCCUCGGCGCCAUGGGUGGCGGUGUCCUCGGCGCCAUGGGAGGCAUGGGUGGCUUCGGAGCCAUGGGAGGCAUGGGUGCACCUCCGGCCGCCAUGGGAGGCAUGGGUGCACCUCCGGCCGCCAUGGGAGGCAUGAGUGGCUUUGGAGCACCCCCCGACGCUAUGGCCGUCAUGGGAGGCAUGAGUUUUGCUUCUCUCAUGGGAGGCAUGGGUGCACCUCCGGCCGCCACGGGUGCAAUGUCUUUCGAUGUGCCUUCUCACACACAUUCCCAUGAAGAUGCCGUUGAAGAUCUUGCCAACACCGUCGAAGCUUCACAUGAUGCGGUGCGUGAUGCGGUGCGUGAUGAGGAGAGGGAGGAAGAUUGA
rnacentral:rRNA from 1 species